rnacentral:rRNA from 1 species
UACGGGGGUGGCAAGCGUUGUUCGGAAUUACUGGGCGUAAAGGGCUCGUAGGUGGCCAACUAAGUCAGACGUGAAAUCCCCAGGCUUAACCUGGGAACUGCGUCUGAUACUGGAUGGCUUGAAUUCGGGAGAGGGAUGCAGAAUUCCAGGUGUAGCGGUGAAAUGCGUAGAUAUCUGGAGGAACACCGAUGGCGAAGGCAGGUCUCUGGGCCACUACUGACGCUGAGAAGCGAAAGCAUGGGGAGCGAACAGG